rnacentral:rRNA from 1 species
UACGUAGGGACCAAGCGUUGUUUGGAUUUACUGGGCGUAAAGGGCGCGUAGGCGGCGUGUUAAGUCAGCUGUGAAAUCUCCGAGCUUAACUCGGAACGGUCAGCUGAUACUGAUGUGCUAGAGUGCAGAAGGGGCAAUCGGAAUUCUUGGUGUAGCGGUGAAAUGCGUAGAUAUCAAGAGGAACACCUGAGGUGAAGACGGGUUGCUGGGCUGACACUGACGCUGAGGCGCGAAAGCUAGGGUAGCAAACGGG